rnacentral:lncRNA from 1 species
GAGUGACAGACAGAACAGAGUCCUGCUAGAACAGUCUGACAGAGUGACAGACAGAACAGAGACCUGCUAGGACAGUCUGACAGAGUGACAGUCAGAACAGAGACCUGCUAGGACAGUCUGACAGAGUGACAGUCAGAACAGAGUCCUGCUAGGACAGUCUGACAGAGUGACAGACAGAACAGAGACCUAAUAGGACAGUCUAACACAGUAACAGCUGGCGACAAUUUACAACAAAUAACUCAAUGAGAACAAGUGACACAGGGUGAGAUGAAAGCCCACAACUGGCAAAAUCAUCCAAUGAGAGCCCAGAACUGCAAAACGUAUCCAAUCACAACACAGCUGUGAAACACGGAGACGUGAACUCAGUCCUGUAGUAAAUGCUGGUGGUGAGUGAUUGAUUCAUUUUUACAAAUGUAAUACCCUGUGUUGAAAUACAUUACAUUCACUUCAAUGGGUUUGAAAUUCAUUUCAAUGUGUGUAUACAUUUCAUUUAUUUACAUAUACACUGAGUGUACAAAACAUUAUGAGUGUACAAAAACACCUGUUCUUUCCAUUACGUUUUACUUUUAUUUAACUAGGCAAGUCAGUUAAGAACAAAUUCUUAUUUUCAAUGACGGCCUAGGAACAGUGGGUUAACUGCCUUGUUCAGGGGCAGAACGACAGAUUUGUACCUUGUCAGCUCAGGGAUUCGAUCUUGCAACCUUUUGGUUACUAGUCCAACGCUCUAACCACUAGGCUACCUGCCACCCCUAGACUGACCAGGUGAAAGCUAUUAUCCCUUAUUGAUGUCACUUGUUAAAUCCAUUUCAAUCAGUGAAGGACAGGUUAAAGAAGGAUUUUUAAGACUUGAGACAAUUGAGACAUGGAUUGUGUAUGUGGGACAUUCAGAGGGUGAGUGGGCAAGAAAAAUGUGUCUUUGAACAGGGUAUGGUAGUAGGUGCUGGGCGCACCGUUGUGUCAAGAACUGCAACGUUGCUGGGUUUUUCACGCUCAACAGUUUCCCGUGUGUAUCAAGAAUGGUUAACCAACCAAAGGACAUCCAGCUGACUUGACACAACUGCAUCCCCGUGGAACGCUUUCAACACCUUGUAGAGUCCAUACCCCGACAAAUUGAGGCUGUUCUGAGGGCAAAAGGGUGCAAGUCAAUAUUAGGAAGGUGUUCUUAAUGUUUUGUACACUCAUUGUAUGUCAGUCAGUUUAUGACGUUGACUCCUAUUUUCUCCCCAGUUCUCUGGUGUUUUAGUCAUCACAUUUCUCCUGUUAUUUACCCAAACCUGUCAUGAAUAGGUUAGACCAGGCCUGUCAUGAAUAGGUUAGACCUGGCCUGUCAUGAAUAGGUUAGACCAGGCCUGUCAUGAAUAGGUUAGACCUGGCCUGUCAUGAAUAGGUUAGACCUGGCCUGUCAUGAAUAGGUUAGACCUGUCAGGAAUAGGUUAGACCAGACCUGUCAUGAAUAGGUUAGACCAGACCUGUCAGGAAUAGGUUAGACCAGACCUGUCAGGAAUAGGUUAGACCAGACCUGUCAUGAAUAGGUUAGACCAGACCUGUCAUGAAUAGGUUAGACCUGUCAUGAAUAGGUUAGACCUGUCAUGAAUAGGUUAGACCAGACCUGUAAUGAAUAGGUUAGACCAGUCAUGAAUAGGUUAGACCUGGCCUGUCAUGAAUAGGUUAGACCAGACCUGUCAUGAAUAGGUUAGAUCAGACCUGUCAGGAAUAGGUUAGACCAGACCUGUCAGGAAUAGGUUAGAUCAGACCUGUCAGGAAUAGGUUAGACCAGACCUGUCAGGAAUAGGUUAGACCAGACCUGUCAGGAAUAGGUUAGACCUGUCAUGAAUAUGUUAGACCAGGUGAAGUGAGGGUAGAGGCUGGGCAGGGCUGGGUAUAUCCUGUCAUGAAUAGGUUAGACCAGGUGAAGUGAGGGUAGAGGCUGGGCAGGGCUGGGUAUAUCCUGUCAUGAAUAGGUUAGACCAGGUGACGUGAGUGUAGAGGCUAAGCAGGGCUGGGUAUAUCCUGUCAUGAAUAGGUUAGACCAGGUGAAGUGAGGGUAGAGGCUGGGCAGGGCUGGGUAUAUCCUGUCAUGAAUAGGUUAGACCAGGUGAAGCGAGGGUAGAGGCUGGGCAGGGCUGGGUAUAUCCUGUCAUGAAUAGGUUAGACCAGGUGAAGCGAGGGUAGAGGCUGGGCAGGGCUGGGUAUAUCCUGUCAUGAAUAG